CAAUGUUUCAUUGAGUUGAACAGACUGGUGAUACCUUGAGAUGAUGAUCCAUUCUUAACCGUGAGUCAAUCAGUAAGCCGCCAAUGUGUCACAAAUCUCAACAAAGAGUUGUAAUUGAAUAUUUAAGAUUUCAAGACAUAGAUGUAAUACAUUCUGUUCUAACCGUUAAAUUACGAGUUAAUAUGUAUUUUUUCUUGUUCAGAUGUUUAAUUUGCCUUGGUGCUUGUCACAUCGGCCUGUUCUUUUCUACUAUCUUUGAACGUGAUUUAGGACAUUUUUCAUGUGGUGUCAGAAAAGCAAUUUCAAGAAUAUAAGCAAUCACCUAGUCCCUAAUAGUAUUCAAUACAUGCAUAUAAAUACGCACAUACACAAUAAAACUGUGUGCAGGACAUCCAAAAAUGGUUGGAAAUCCAAUUAAUAUGCAUUAAGAAGGAAAAAGACGAGCGGGUAGCCUGGAUGAUUCAGCAAUAGUUAUACAUAAAUUAUUGGAUAUCCGAGAUCGAGUCAUGUUUUUUUCUUUGAAAAAAACCAACCGUGCAACAUCGCACAUUAGAGUUCCAACAAUCUGCGCAUACAAAAAACGACUUUUUCAGUUUAAUCAACUAAGGCUUACUGGUAAAAAAUAACAUCAUAUAAUAUGUUUCCUAUUUUCAUUGAUGUACAUACUUACUUAUAAUGUUAGGUGGAAGGCCAGGAAUCUAAUGAAUAACAUUGAAUGUAUAAUACAUAUUUGCACAUCAUGUUCUCUAAUUAGAAAUUAAAAACACUGAAAGUUUAUCUCUGACCUUCAUGGCAUACUGAUAUCUCACAAAUUCAAUCAUUUUCGUUUUCUUGCGAAGGCAAGUUCAGUAAUUGCUUUGAGACUAUUUUUAUAUAUUUAUUCAUUAUUUGUUAAAUCCAUCAAUUUAGACUGUUGUGUAUUUAUGUCAAGUACACGUGUAUCAUUUAUGUCAGUUCUUCCUAAAUAUAUUCAGCCUUCCUUUGCUGCUUUGGUUGAUAAAGCAGCCUCUCUCCCUCUGCAUGCAGACCCGUCUCUCUUUAUAUAUUUCAAAAUGUGUCAGUCUAUCUCGUUCAAGCUCUCUCCCUUUUCUCCUGCUGGGUUUUCCCGCCAAGGACGUGCUUCCAACUGCAUGAAGGGUGUAGCUUGCGCUGCCGUAAGCGACUUUUUUGAAAAUAACGACCGUGCCGUAGAAGUGGGCUUCACGUGCUUGCACACGCACAAAAAAAACUACACUUAAGAUCAUCACAAGACAAUUUGUCUUCCACACUCGGGCCACCAGAGCUGUUUGCAAAGCUGUCAAAACAAUGAUUCUUUAUCUCGGUUUUUGAUGACAACUGUUCCUCUUGAUGAGUUCUGAGCGAUAUGCAAUGAAUAAGAUGCACAUCGUGACUGUGUGCGUGUGUGUUACCGUGUGCUUCUGAAGGAUGAGGUGGUGGGAGAGAAGAGACGCGAGGGGGCGGGCUGAGCAUUGUAGUGGCGCAAGUCGUGCGUAAAAAACGCUUGUGGGGGACAGUGGCUGUCAGAUGCAUCUCCGGAGUCAAAUUUAAGAUCGAUGUAACAUGACGAGCAGAUCCUGGUGUCAAGUUGUACCAACAUGUGAUCAACACAACAAUUUAUCCAACAAAGACCUUUUGGCUGUGGGUUUAUGCUUAAAUAAUAUACUCUUACAAAUAGUUUAGAUAAGGUUCCUUUUGAAGCAUCAAGCUUUUGACAAGAUUUGUGCACCGAAGGACUCAGUACAGUCGAAUGUUGCUCCUCUGUUCCAGCUCAUCGGCAGAAUUUAAAAAUGGCGGGAUGUGCCCUUUUGACCUCAGCAUCUACCGCACAGCUCGCCAACUAUAAUAGCUGAAUGAAAAUCUUUGAAAGGCAUUAGAUUGUCCAGUGGGGACAAAUCCUAAACAUGUUGAUGGGGUAGAUUUUACAGUCGCAGCAAACAGGUACAUUACUUUGUGUGAUUUAUGUACAUCCAAACGGCAUCACUGUUUUGAGCGUGCAAACAGUUUCAUUCCUUCCAGAGCUCAUAUAAUGGGUUGCAGUCUCUGAUAUUAAGAUCUGUCAUUUUCACUUCAUUCAAUACAGUGGUACAAGCUGUGACGGAAAUAAAUAAAUCACGAGGUACCCAUAUAAGAUAGAAAAUAUCAAGAAGCAACCUUGGCUAAAGCUGCAGAUUCAGUUCAACUGGACAUUUUUUCACACAUUUAAAAAAAAAAUCCCCUCCUUCCUCUGGAAUUGCAUCACGACCUCGAGAAAAAUCAUCCAUCCAUAUUUAUAAGACCUUCUCCGUGACAAGAGUCAGUCGGAAGGCAGAGGCAGGGCCAGAAAUGGGGACGGCCUUGGACAAAAGGUCAACCUUGUGUAAAUCCCUUAUUCCAAAAUGUACAGGAACGACACCAGAGUCCGUCCCCCCCCCCCCCCUGCAGUCCCUUCGUCCAAAAUCUCAUCGAGCCUUGUUGAUGUUCAAGAACAAUAGGCAAUCCCAUAGGAAUGUGGAAAUGAAUAUGAUGAAUAGCUCAAUGUUUGGUAAGAAAUGCUCAAAUUACCAUCUAAAUGACACUGUUGUAGUAAUUAGAAUGGUAACAGCAGCUGUGAUCAAUGAGAUAAUAUGUCCAUUACAAACACGACAUCUCAUGGAGAAAUAAUGGGGAUCAUGUACUGCAGUUAGCGGUUAUGAUGUCCUUUGUGAAUCGGAUAAUUAGAGUAUGCAUGGUCCAAUGACAAUGCAGCGGAGCUGUACAUCGGACAAAACAAAAAUUGACGAGGCUGCGGCAAUUGUUGCUCUUCUGUCUGAUUUAUAAUGACAACGGGGCCGAGCGGCUUAUUAGUUAAAGGACGUUCCUACUGCCUUCCGCGUCACUCUCCUCCUUCCUUCCACUGGAGGUCCUGGGAUCUCAGGGCGGCCUAAAGCCCCUCGGUGGGUGCUGCAACCUGAUCUCGCGCUCACCUUUCGGCAGAAGGGGAGUAUUCAGCAGCCGGGGCAGAUAACACAUCCGUGCCACUCAAUACCUUUGUCUGGUUGGCUUCUGUUCGGGCCGGUGAUCCCUGUCCAACUCAAUCCGCUUCUAUUGUUAACGGCAGGAAUACUACAGCAGCUCUGUGACGGACCGCGAUGUUGUAUCCGCUCACUCCCACUAGCUGUCUCUCUUAGUGGCAUUUUAUAACCUUUGUUUCUCUUGCGUGAUGAUUCUCACUUGAAUCACCCAUCCUUGGCUCUUCUUCUUCUACUUCUUUUUCUCCCCUCCUCCCCGGGUGGUCUGCCUUAUUACUCAGUGUCCUCCUCUCCCGUACUUCUCCAUGUCACUUUCUGGCCGUCACUUGCUGCCCACGUUGUAACUCGCACCGUUCUGUCCGCGGCCUCGUCAGUCCGCUGUUUGUUUAGCGUGCCAAGUCAUUUUGCUCCAUUUUUGUGUUUGACGGAGCAGGAACAUUGACAGGCGACAUGGAAGUUUACUUACCCCAGACAUGAGUAGCCUGCAGGCACAAACAGAAACCAUCAGAUUCAUAAUAUGCCUGUGUCUCCUGGGCUCGGUUUAAAACCACGGCAAAAGGGGGAUUAUCUUUUUUUUUCUGCACAAACACGGCAACAUGCUUCACUAGUGCGCUAAGAGCUGUGGACAGGCAGCUUGUAGUCAGUCAUCCUUAAAAGAUUUAAGAUGUAGUUGGUCAGAUUUUUAUGUAAAAAUAAACUUUUUCAGACAACCUAAAGCGGGACAGCCAAAAGACGUAUUUCAUCCUCUCCAACUGCAUCCUGUUAAAAUCUGUGUUAAAAAAAAAUUAAACCAGAAAAAGAGAGAAGGCAAAAUGGUUUCUUUUAAUACAAAUUGGCAUAGAAAUAAGCAUUGUUCUGACUACAUGUGGCUCUUUAGUCUGUUCCAAAAUGUGACAGAUUCGAAAGAACAUUGACAAGACAAUUGUCAAAAAACUGAAUUUGUUUUGUAUUUUGUAUAAAACAACUACACAUUUAAGAACGAAGCACCCCUGUUUUUUCUUCUGACGGAUAUGAAAACAUAUUCUUUGACCAUCAAUUGCAGUUAUUUUCCUCUCCAAACUGACAUCCACAUGAUACCGCUAGGAGCUGUAACCGGUGGCUGCCUGUGAUGUUUGCAAUAGAUCUAGUUCUGCACAGGGGUAACGUGAGUUUACAAGUGCAAUGGGAACAGAGGCCAGUUUAUUUUGAAUCAUCUGGUAUGUUAGAAUAUGAUUUACUGUUUGAUUAUUCAUUAUACUUGCUUUGUUUUUCGUUUUGUUUUCCCCCGACGUCUCUUGUUGUUGCACUAUCCCCUUUGCUGCUGUAAUCCUGCAAAUUCCCCACUGUGGGACUAAUAAAGGAUAAUCUUAUCUUAAUCUUUUUUCAUCUUAUUCAUCUAAUUUGCUCUGAAAUGAGAGGACCUCUACCAUAUUGCUCUCUCUGAAAGUAAACCCUGCAUUUAACAAUAUAUUUAGUUCAUGCCUUUGCUUACAUUAAUCAGUCAACUUAACGUUACAUUAUUUAACGAUAUCAAUUAUACAGUUGCUGCAACUGGAAGCUUUGUGACAUGGAGACCAACAGGAGGUCAAAGCAGAGGUUCGGUUGAAGAGGGUUACGAUGCACAACGAACAAAUAACCCGAGGUUGGCUCUCACAGCGAGACGGGGCGAUGCGAGGCGGAGUGAGUGAAAAACCAGAAAGUGGAGCACAAUACAGAGCAGACAAUUUGCUAUGCAUCAAAUACGCAGUCAUAGAUUUGUUCAGAUGCUUGUUCAUAACCUGUCCUACUCUCAAGCUGCUGGCGUUAUUGUUCAGGCUCACCGCAGUCAAUAAUGCCAAGACAUCCCUCGGGCCGAGAUGGUGUGUUUGACAUGCAGUUGGGAGGGGGGGGGCUCAUCUUGUUUGCCGUGCAAUGUCCAGUGCGUCUCUUUAGGAGAAUUCGCUCAAGCACGUUGCAACGUGAACCCUAAAAGUGAUGAACUGGUCCUCCAUCUUCUCACAUCUCGCCGUCGCUUUCAGGCAAAUAAUGACACGACCGUGGGCACUUAUCCUACUCAUCAAUUUUCCAUCUGAAGGGCGGCCUGAAAACUUCAGAUCUGCUUUUUUUUUUACUUCAACAUGCGGCCGUGCUUCACCUUGACACUUUUUGUUUGUGUCAGGCGUACGCUUAACAAUCCCUGGCUGCCUUCUUUCUUUCCUUUAAACAUCGCUAAUCAUCACAUUGGCUGUUUGAUCAAUCGCGUGCUGUUGCUGUGACUAACAGAUGACCCUGCAAAACCCCAGAUGGCCACACUUUUAAUAGUUUAGUUAGUUUAAUAGCUGGUUCUGGCAUAUUUAUAGCUCAUUUCACUUUGCGGUCCAGCCCCAAAAACCAUUUCUACCCCAAUUCACUCGCUUUGCCUCCGUCUCCUUUUCCUCUUCACACCUCUUACCACAACCACCUUGAAAGUAUAAUUGAGGCAGGGAUAUCGUCAGGCCGGGCUUUGUAUCCGCACGGGAAGCAAGCGAGGAAGUAGCGAGUGACACAGAGGUGACCUCCACUGGCACAGAGACCAACUACCUCCUGAGCCAUCCAAAAUGCCCAACACAAAUUAGGUGAUUAAAUUAGCAAGUCGUGCUUUUAAUGUAUAGCAGAGUUUUGCGCUCGUGGUAUUUCUUUUAUUAACGGCAAUACAUCACAUUCAUUUCCUUUGCCUGUUCAUUCCUCCUCCUCAUCUCAUCAAAUGUAUGACAUUGCAUAUCUUCUAUAGUGCCUUCUAUGAAAUAAUUGCAGAUAACACAAUACAAUUAAACCUUAUUCCAUUUCAAUUCCUCUUGUGAUCCUGCCUAUUGACAAAAAACGUGCAAUCAUGACAAGUCAGUACAUCCUCAUACAAUUUUCCUGUGAAAGAAGUUAAACAGCAUUUAGAUUUUGGUCAAGGUCACAGUGGUCAAUUGAUCACUGCUAAAGCAACAUCCAACACUCCUCAUCGAUAUGGAGGAAGAGAAGCAGAGAGAGAAAUAUACAGGGAGCAUGGAUGGAUAAAAAAGACACAGGUUGCAAGAAAAUAAUAAAGUCACACAUCUGAAUAUCUUUAUCAUAUUAUUUUCUUGCAACCUGUAUUAUCGUUGGCUCUCUAAACUUACUAUGUCUCGUGGCUGAAAUUAAACAUUAUUUUUAUUCACUUUGAGAAUGGAAAGUUAUCUUCCAUUCUAGAUGAAGCCCUGAUAGAUAUAAGCAUUCAUGGAAGUUGACAACGGCCAUUGCACUGAGGGCAUUAGAAGUGGCAGCUUGUCAAACAGCCCACUGGGGUAAAAAAGCAGCAAGUUAAUAGAGGAACAGAAAGACGGGGGCGAAGGGGGGUGGAGGCAUAAGCCGUGAGGGCAACCAGCAGGUCAGCAGAAAGGACAAGUUUCCACUUUGCCUUCCUGCUGCCCUUCAUUUUCCACCUCCUCAUCUUCCUAUUUUAAAUUAAUUACCGUUCAGGACAUGAGAGGAGUACGGAGCGCUCUCGUUAAGCAACAACAAAUACCCAGGACAUGAGAAACUUAAUUACCUGGGGACCGGAGGUUAUUCUGGUGCCAAGGAGAGUCUCUACCUCUUAACAAGGGCUUUGCCCUCGAGGAUAUGAGCGCAGGAAAUGUAUGAUUCUGCGGUGUUCCAUUUCUAUUCAUACGCAUAACUUUUUCUGCAGGGAUUUUCCCUACAUGUAACUGUACUACAUAUUUGCGUUUCUUACCAUUAUUCUCGGAAAAAUAUUCUCUGAAUUGGUUUCUCAAUCUUUGGCCUGUGCCUCCGUUGUGUGUAGUAUUUGGGUGUUUUUAAUUAAUGACAUCCCUCACGGUGUCUGCCUUAUUCACUUAAUGACACCCCCUCCCCCUCCUGUCCGCGCGAAUGCUGGACUGAUGAUGCUCCUUAACGUCUCAGUAAUUAUUCCACGGCUCUUUAAUUCUGUCUCUAUUCUAUCCCUCUCCUCUCUUUUAUGUCAUGUAUUCAUCACCAUAUUCACACGGUUUGCCUUUGAGCAGAACAGCUGAUUAGACCGGGUUCUCUCUGCAAAGGCCCUAAUCUGCAUAGGCCCCAUUGCGGAGCCAUGUGGAGUGCCACUGUGAUGAAAGUCUGUGUCACUGGCAUAUGCGCAAAACACAAGUAACAACAACAAAAAGACUUCUAAGACAUUUAAGCUAACGGCCCAUUCCUUAACAAGCCAGCACUGCGUCCGUUUCCUCCAGAAUCAGCAGCGGUAGUGAGAUAUUCAAGUCAACAACGUGUCCCUGUGAGAGGGAAGCAAACAAAUAGGAGAGUAAAAGGCUUGAUGCAAAUGAAAUGUUGUCUACGCUUUUGGGUGUGUUGUCAAUAAUUGACAAUAUUUGCUGAUGUCUCCCAACGACUGGGAAGUCGUCAGAUGACGGAUGGGCUUAGGAGAUGUGCCGGAUGGGCUUAGGAGAUGUGCCGAGGGAUUUCGGUAAAGAAAUGGGGUGCAGAUAAAUUUGUCCCACCCCCAGCCCAGUGCUCCCCCCACACACCUUUACAGACACUUCUCUCUGCAUUCUUUACCUUAUUGUAAUCACGUUACCUAUUAUUUAAACUCGCCCCUCCCUCUUAAUACAAUUGCCUUUCUAUUGUCCUCCAUUCAUCAACCUCUCUCUCCCCGCUCAGCCUGGAUCUCUGCAUGUUCACAGAUUUACACAGCAGUGAUCUGUCCUUUGCCUCUUUUCCUCUGACCAGGCGCAUGCAGGUCAUUCCCACUUUUACAACCCACAGAAUGGCCUCUCUUCUCACAAUACAAAAGCCUUUCUAAUUGGUGAGCUGUGCUUCUAUUUAAUUACCUGGGAGAACAUAUAUUCUGCUGUUGCUGCACAAAGCUUCCCUUUUUCUCUCAAAGUUUUCCAUUUCUUUCGUCGUUACUGACCUGUUGUAAUUUACGACAUCCUCCUAAUUUACACGAUAAUUCAAUGAACCCCAAAUUAACCUGGCCGGCAUUCACCCCAUUAGUUCGCUGUGCUCCCCCACUCUGUUGUCUCAAUGAUUAAUUAUCAAUGCCCAUGAUGUGGAUCAGACGUUGUCAGCGGAGGACGCCGGUGUCAUUCAGUGUCUGUGUCCACCAGAGCACAGCAGCCGCAUAUUAGCGACAGGGUUGACGGGUAAAUUACAGGCGAUUAAGAUCUUGUAAUCACAUCCCCUGCCUGUAAUAUUGUCACAAUCAUCUCCUAAGUAAGAGGAUAGUUCGUGGGGGCGGGGCUAUGGCGGCAGUGGGGGUUCGGGUCUAUAACCUGGUACCGUUGUACCAAAGAUAACUAACUGCUCCUUGAAAAUGUCCUGACUGUGCCUCUGGAUUUACCUCAUCAUCGUCGUAGGGUGUCCACCUCCCCCCAUGUCAUGCCACAUAAGCCUGCAGGUAGUGGUUUAAUUGUGUUUUUUUCAGCAGAUGGUUAAGUGGAGACGGCUGCCUGUGCAGUCAAAGGCUACUGUAAUAUGCAAAUUACAUCCCUUAAUAAUUGGUCAUGCAAUGAGGGCUUUUCUGUAAAACGACCCAGACUAUUAAAGUGCUUUGACAUGACCGGGAAGGCAUUGCUUUUGCUCCUGUGUGCCACAAAGUUGCAGUUGUGUCAGAGCUUUGAUCCAAAGACUGGCCAUAAUUGAUCUUCUUUGAGAAGUUGUCAAGUGGCUCUUAUUUGACAAGCCAAUUGUUCCACUCCCUGCCUGCCUGUGAUAGUGAGCAUUACUCGUAUCACUGUGGCCAGCUUGACUUGGACAUUAGAAUGGCGAGUAGGUUUUUAUCAGGCACACUCCAAACAGUUAUCCACCGGCACAAAAACACACACGGGAAUAAAACACUUGCUUUAUCGCUUCAGUCAGUAAUCCUCAGCCACGGUUGUCUCUGCAAUUUGCUUCGCAUAAAACCAAGGUCUCUCUUCAUGUGUUCAAUUGAGUCGACAAUGUCAACUUAUUUUGCUUUGACUCUGCGAGCGUUGUAACAUUUAGGAAAGGACUAUGGUUGCCUGUCAAUUGAAAAGCUUGGUUCAAUUCAUUGGUUUAGCUGACGUUUUGCAGAAUUUCCAACAGGUUUGAAAGAGGAGGGCUCCUAGAUUGGGAAAAUUCCUAAAAGCAUAUAUUUUAUUUAUCUCUUUCAUGAUAUACGUCUUUUCUAAAAGUCACAUGUGAAGCUUUUGUGGUAUCUUUAUUGUAUUCUACUGGGGUCGUGAUAGGGAAAGAGAGGCCAUGCAUCAUGUCCCACUGAUAAUCAUCUUGAUGUCUGAAUCUUGUCAUUCCUGAAAGAUAUUUUUAAAAUGUCUCCUCAGUCAGGAGUCAUUUUUGCUCUUCCAUUAAAUCUACUCUGGUUUUCAUUAAAACAAGGUAUCUUUGGUGUACAUGGUCAAAUUAUUUGUUAAAGAUUGUAAUGUUUUUGUUUCAUUUCGAUUAUACAUGGUCCAAUUCAAUUUCGCCUUUACUAACUACUAUACAGUCCCCAAAGACAAAAUGUUAAUUGACGUCUUAAAUCAACCAAAUGGGCGUGCGAGUUUGAUCGUUGGUUCUAGACUCAUCACCCAUUCUCCGCAUCCAGACUGGCACAGCACCAAUAUCCAUCCUUGACCCUGAAUCACAGCCUCCCCCCCCUACACAUUAGUCAACAUGCUGUCUCUAAGAAGAACAUUGUUUGCCUCGCAGUGAACCUCCUCCAGCAAGUCUGCCUCUAAUCCAACAGCAAACCAUCUUUGAGUGACUGCUUUUGAUUGCCGAAGUAAUUUAUUGAUUUGUUUCCACUCCCAAUAUAUCAUACAAAAAUCCCCAACACCCUUUGCAUCGAGCAGAUUUUGUGAUGGUCAAAUUUAUUGAUUAUAACCUUUCCCAAAGGGGUGUCUGAUAGUUUAAUCAAUCAGUCCAGGGCUUGGGGUCAAGUCGCAGUAAUCAAGAGCGUAUUGGAUUAGUAACCUAAGGGAUAGACUACAUCGGUUUGUUCUGUGGGUGUAUUAACAAGGUAGAGGUGUGGGCAGUCUGGGUCAGAGGAGCAAUUAGAUUAUCAAGAAACACAACGUCAAGAUUGUAUCUGAGUCACGCUGGGAUGUUUGGCUCCAGGGCAGUUGUUGCUGAGCUGCGUUUACUGGCUCAUUGUGGCUGAGGUCAGAGGCCGUGGGUGCUUUCCUUCACUUUGUCAGGUCCUUGAGUAUUUUUAGAAGAGGUAUGUACGAGGGUAUUUUUUUUUGAAGAUACACUUGUUCAUUUUUAAAGAGGAUGGACAAUAGACACAUGGCUGAGACCCUUUAAACAGCAUGCAUAUGCAUAAACCUCACUAGAUGGCACUGUUCCCACUUUGCACGACCCAGCCAGUCAGUUGAGGGAAGCGCAUCCCUGCAGACCGACGAGGCUUUCUUAUCUCGUAUUGCAUUCCCAUCUAAGCAAAUCUCAUGGCAAAAUCUGAUCAAAUGUUUGCAAGCAGGUGUGCUUGGAAAUGUUUCCUCCAGUUUUGUCAGAUCAUGGUGAAAGGGCCUCGAAGUUGGAUAAUCGCGAUUCAAUUUCCCCAAAAUGAAAGCUAACAACGCCGUGUAAAGGACAUCAAUCUUUGACUGUUUUGACAACAGGGGAACCGAUUAUAAAACCCUUUUUGUUUAGAGUGACACGGUGGCUAUUCUUUUCAGUUGACCUACAGAGAUGAUAUUAAUAUUCUGUACUAAUCAUUCAAGGCAAAAAAUUGCUAUACACCAAAAUGACAGUGCCCGAGCAAGCAGAAGGUAAAACAGGACAGGAGAGAAAGGUGGGUAUUAGGGGAGGGGGGGGGUGUAUGACUGCAGUGGUGGUGAGGAUCAGUGCUCAUGCAGCAAACAACCUUUUGCUUUUCCUGCCAUCAUUGGGACCCACUAUCUGCAUGGCUGGAAGGCGUGCAAAGAGAGAGCAGGAGAGCAAACAACCCACACCUCAAUGCGCCUCGGCACUUUGAGCCAUACAACACACCUGCUCCACUGUUUUGGAGCACAAGAGAGAUAAAGAGCAGUAGACAGAGAGAGGGAGAGAGAGAUAUUCCAGAGGACAUCUCCCAUUCCAAACAUGCCAGGUGACUCUUCUUUUUUUCUCUUCUAGGGAGUAUCUGACAGCCCCACUCUUAAGGGCUUAUAAGCCGGUCAUGUUCACUUGAGUUCAUAAGCGUUAUAGGAAUCCAAUUUUCCUCUCUAGAUCCAUACCAGUAGUACAUUGCAGAGCUUAGAAACCUAAAGUUUUUUUUAUUAUAAAGUUGGGGAAAGUGUGCUUCCCUACUCUUUGAGUGCGGGGCAACCUCCGGUGCACAGAACAUUCUCUACCUGUGCAACCUCAUAUAGUGGUAGAUUUGCUGGCAUUGCUUUACAAAUCACUAUCUGCCACUAUCAGUCAUGCAUGCAAAUAGAGAAAUACACGCAUGCAAAGCGUGCAGAUUCUACUCACGGUUUCACCCGGGUGUCUCACAUGCAUUAAUAAUUUCCCACAUACAUUUCAUAUGCCUACUCUCACAUAAUCCUAUUAACCAGUCUGCAGAAUAUAGGCCACACAUAUACAGUAUACACAUACACCUGCCCUCUUUUGGGAUUAUCAUGCUUGACGCCUCUCAGACUGAAUGGCUUGUUUCACACCGACAGAAUUGUGAUCUCCGUCUCAGUGUGCUUCUGAGAGGCAACAGAACUUGCCAUCGCCCUGCGCUCACACUCACAAUCCCUUAUGCCUAUUGUGUGUAUGUAAAUCUGUGCCUCGGCGUAAGUGCAUCUCAGAAAGGGUGAGUGAGGCAAACAGACGGAGGCAGAGAGAGAGAGAGAGAGAGAGAGCACGAAAGAAAAUGAGUUCUGCUUAUGUAAAAGAAGCCAAAUCCAGGUCAGACGGCACAUUCUUCAUCAAGCACUGCUUUCGUUUUUAUACUUUGACUAAGAUGCAUUUAAUGGAUGAUUUACUAGUUUUUAAAUUAAAGUAAUUUAUCAAGCAAAAAUGCCACUCACUCUACAAAGAUGUUUCCAACGUGAGGGCUGGCAUUUUCUUUUUUAAAUACUGCAUUUAUUCCCUAACGAGACGUUUGAAGCGAUGUCCUCAAUGUCCUCAAAUAUGUCAAACUACUAAUCUUGCAGCCUUGACAUCUCAUAACAGUAAUACCAAGCAGAGACACUAUGGUAAACUGCUCAAAAGGGUUUUACUUUCUUCAUUCCUAGGCUCCAUUCCAUCUUCAUUUACAGUAAUAAUAAGCCAACUAUUAACUUAACAACAGCGCAGGAAUACAAUGAAUUUGUCCGGUCAAAUAACGCCGCUAUUUAUUACAUCACAACAUUUGAAAAAAGGUGUAAUCUAUUGUUGUGGUCAGUACUUUCUCCUUUUUUCUUCCACUCUUCCACUCAAAUGCAGAUACUUUAAUACCACAGAGGUACAUGAAACACAACCUUCAAGACCUACCGUAGGCAUCGUAUCAAAAGCAUGGAAUUCAUUUUUUGUUUCAGGUAAUUGCUAUUUCCCUAAAAACAUCUUGGUUUUCCUAAUGCCAUCUCCGUCCUCUGAGAGCAGGAGUGACCCGGAGUGGUCUUCUUGGUAACUCUCCAGCAUGUUUAUUCUGGUGAGAUGGGAUAUAACUGUGUUUAUGAUGCUAUAAAGACUUUUUGGCCGAAGCCCUUGCUGCCCACAGCGUGUCUUUAGGCCCAUCAUAAAAGCCGGAAUGGGUUCUGCCCUUGGAAAGGUACUACAAGUAGUGUGUGUGUGUUAGUUGGUGUGUGUGUGUGUGUGUGUGUGUGUGUGUGUGCGCCCUGUUUUACGUUAAGUUGAUCGUUACAGGAGCUCAGGUUUUCUAUAGCUAUCUUUAUGGUUACAAACGCAUCACUUGGACUGCUUGAUUUUGAAAACCCAGUCCCUCUAAAAAUGAAUGGGUUUUUUAUAUUGUAUUAACAGCAACUUCUCGAGUUGCUUACAGUAUACAUCAGCAUGAUUAGUGUACAGUGACUAUUAAAGUGAUACACCAUCCAAAGCCUCCCUUUAGAAUAUCAAGCACGGUUCGCCCUGUAGCAUAAAGAAUAGUAGAGCUGCCAGGGGAGACGAGUCUUAACAGCAAGAAAAAGUACAUUUCUUUGCUGCAAAUGUAGUGUGUCCUUCGUUACUGUAAAAUCAGUUCAUCGUCCCCUUUUUUAGACUUUAAGGUCACCCGGACAAUGAUUGUUUAGAGCGACGACGAGGGAGAAUUUGUCACUGCUGCAAGGACAUUUUUUCAAUUUCAAUUUUCUACUACGAAAACUUGACAUCUUUUGAUUCCAACCAACAUUUAUUUACUACUUCUUGCAGAAGAAAAAGCACGUUCCAGAUAUAUAUAUAUAUAUAUAUCUUGUGCGUUGUGACGUAUUGCUUGAACUGUUUACUACUGAACACCUUCCAUUAGACGAUGGAACAACAGAGAAAAGGUUUUGCUGCUGUCACAGGGUGUUUAUAACGGCUCAUAACUCAGCAGCUCCAAAGUGCUCACAAGAUCUGCUUUCUGAGAGCAAUUCAAACGAGUGAACUUUUGCACCGAGCAGUAAGAAGGGUCAAAUUAGCUGAAAGAAAACAAGUGGCAUCCCUGUAAUGUCAAUACGACAUCCUCCCGCGCGUCAUCCUCCUACGCGGGCAUUUUUUUUCUUCUGUAAACGUGGCUGUGUGUGCACAUGUACUCCCACUGAUGCGCGGCCAUGAACAGGUGGGUGGCUGGCGGUGGGCGCCAUCAAUCCAAGCCGUGCGUGUCUAUGAAUAUGUGGGUGUGAGUCACCGCGUUCCCGUGUAAUGUGCGUCAGGCUUGCCCCGAGCGCCCCUGUUUCAGGUUGGUCUCAUUACAAAAGGUAAUUCCUCCGGAGCAACAGCUCGGUGAUGGCAGGAGAUGGUGAUGAUCCUUUAAUAGCCCCCCUCAUUGCCCACUGGCCAGAUCCUAAAAGCUGAUUUGCCUACUGCGGCUGCCACUGAGCCGAGAAGAUGAAUAGAAAACUAACCAUCAUUAUAUCUGCGAUAGAAAUCAAAUAAGAUCGCCCAUAAUCUACUUCUCAGCUUCUUUUGUUUCUUUUUCAAACCAUCCGUUGCUCAGUCCGUACAUCUAUCCCCCGGCUCCAUGUUUCUAUCCCUCUGCUUUCAUGACUUUCUGCUGCUUUUCCCUCCCUUCUUAUUGUUUUGCUUGUCUUAUGUGGCUUUGUAUCAGGGCUCAAUUUUUCCAUUUCUACACUUCAAAAGAAGUCUACUGAUUGGAUUUUUAUUUUUUGGGGCGUUUGGAAGUAAUGAGGGAUGACGCCAUGUGAGUUUUCAGGGAGCAGAGCCUCGACAGCCUUGCCUUGUGGCGAAUGGGAAGGGGGCUGAAUGGAGGAGCUCGGCUAAGUGGUCAAGAGGAUGUGUGAGCGUUUGCGUGCAUCGGGGUGUGUUUAAGUUUCACAAAAAGCUUCAUCAAUCUUGUGCAUUUAACUGGGGCUUUUAUCGCCUACAUUUCAAAGAAAACAAUGGUAAAUGUGGAAAUUGAUUGUGUGUUUGUGUGCACUCUGGUGUGUGUGUGUGUGUGUGUGUGUGUGUGUGUGCCCUAAACCCCCUGUUAUCUGAAGUGAGAAAAGCGAGGAAAUCGAGAAAGGGCCAAAACUCCACUCUAAUCUCCUCCACAUAUGGUCGGGUUUCUCACAUAUCCCUGAUACGAUUUAUAGGGAUUAGUUUGCCCCCCCCCGAAAUCGUCAGAGUGUGGAAAAAGUGCCGUGUGGAGGGUCCUUUAAUCUCUUAGCCAUCGGCACUGUUGACACGACAGGGCGAUAGUGAGGAAGUCAGACCGCUUCUGUUUGAUUUGGAAGGAACAACAGUGUCCAGGAAUUGUGCUUAACACACACGGGGGGACUGGAUGAAGGUCGUGUUUACACCGGGGAGUGACCGUGCAUAUGUAUAUGGGUGGUUAUGUGAUUGUUGCGGGGAGGCUGAGCCUUGGCCGAAGUCCCUUUUCCCUUCCAUGUAUCACUCUCACUACAUCCCCCGCUUUCCCCCUCCGUGUUCCAGUCGCUCCCCCCUCUGUCAGGGGAUGUUCGUCUAAAUAAUUCAGCCGCGAUCCGGGCCAGUCUUUAAUCAGAUGUCGCUGCUUCCCGUCUCCGACAGGGCGCUCAACACAUUAUCAUAAUCGUCCGUUUCUUCAGACUUGUUCAGCCAGUUGCUAAAGUUUUGGGACAUUUGAGUUAAGCUUAAAUGACGCUUCACAUGUUGGCUGAUGGUAUUAAUGCUUUUCAACUCUGAUGUACGUAACGUCAUCGGACUCUAAAUGAUCCUUUUCACGCCAGCCUGACAAGUUAAAGGAUGUAAAGCCUAGUCUAUCAACCAACAUUUGAAUGGCAUUAUUUAAACUAAUCAAAAUUCUAAACAGCUCAACAAAUGCCACACUUUAAUUUUGAGUCUCUCUCUCUCUCUCUCUCUCUCUCUCUCUCUCUCUCUCUCUCUAUAUAUAUAUAUAUAUAUAUAUAUAUAUAAUACACUAAAUAUAGUGCAAAAAUAUGCAAAAUAUGUACAAUAACGUAUAGGGUUAUAUUUUGGGAAUAAAUUGCUUUUUUAAGGUAUUGACCAAAGUAGGCUAACCAAGUUCAACAACAUUCGGAGUGGAUCAUCUGAUCUUAACUGUACAUUUAUUGUUCUCAAACCUUUUAUGACACAACAUGAGUCACUUUGACUUUGAUUUCCUUAAACCAGUGUUGGAAAAAAUAACAUUUGAACUCAAACACAAUUCUCUGACAUGAGCAAACUCCAUCUGUUGAUGCAAAAUUACGCAAAGCUCAGGAAACAAAUGGAUCUUGAGUUGAGAUUGUUUUGCGUACGCGUGCAGAGAUGCAUGUGUGAACAUAACAGACAUUUUGAUGGACCUCCUGUGUGCAAUAAUUCAGCUGAUAUAUUAAUGCAAUACAGUGGUUUAAAAGACUCUUACGUGAACAUCUGCAGCCCAUUUUCUUAUCUUUAGUCUGAUACACUGUAAAAGAGAUCCAGCCGGCUCGCUAACGAGUUAAAACUGCACAAAAUUCACCACGGCUCUGCUGCCUGAGGCGAGGAGGAAGCAGUGAUGGAAUUCUACCCUUAUCAGUCAGUCUCCAUAGGGGAAUACAGUGCACAUAGGGUAUGCAGACGGGUCGGGUGAAGUGAUUUGUCAGGGGCGACAUGUCCUGGAAACAGAUUUGUUUGAAGGUGUCAAUGUGCAAUCGGUCGCACGCGGUUUUGUGUGCGUGCACGUGUGUGUGUGUGUUUGUGUGCGUGCGUGCUGGGAAAGCUCGGUGGUCUGCAGUUUACCCCCACAGUUGCUUGGCAGCUUCACUCCACUUUUAAUUAGAGAAAAAGCUUCGGCAACAAAGUUCGCAACUAAGAGAGUGGGGUGAGAGAAAGAGAGAGCGGGAUUUGCAUCGUAAACUGAACCAGCGGAUUCAUUCAGGCGAAAUAAAAGUAUCGUUCAAGGUCGGUCUUCACCUGAUUUUGGAAGGAAAAUAAAACAAAUAUGAGAUACCUUUGGCAUGUUUCUCCCUCAUGUUAGACUCUGGACACAUUUAUAGGUAACCACACACAACAGUUAAAUCUAUCUAUCUAUAUAUAUACAUACAUACAUACAUACAUACAUACAUACAUACAUACAUACAUACAUAUAAAAGCAAAGAGCAUUGGAAAGACAGCAUCAGACUGUAUGAAAAAUUGAUAGUGGGACUGUACGUGGAACGGUACAGUACAGGUAAAAGUUCAAGUAAAACAUUAAUGGGGAGAACUAUUAUGUUAUUUAUGAGCAUGUCGUUUGACAAAACCUUAUAUGAAUGCUAAACAUCACUAUUUUUGUUUGUCUUAUUAUUUGAGAUGAAGCAUUCUUUUGUUAGUCCCAGUUAUUUUCCACAGCAGCAACAUGACACCUCAUAUUUGCUGCCUGACAUCGUAAAUUAAACACAAUGGAGUAACGCAGGUAACAUUAGCAUCGUUAGCAGCAGAAUAACUACCGUGCAUAGUGGGCUGCGCUGGUCUUCAGCAGCCCUGUAACCAUUCAAUCUGCUCUUCUUUUCCCUUUUUACCCGGCGCUUGGGUGACGUAUUUCCCCAUUUCGUGUUUGCAGUCAUGCUAUUUUUCACACACCUCUCAUCUCCUUUGUGCUCCUUUAAAUCCCCAAUAGUCUGAAAUUUCUCUGGCUGCUUGCGAUUUCUAUUUUUGUGACAGCCACUUUAAAGAGAAACGAAGUCUCACAGAAAUUAGUGGUGUGACCCAAACCGUGAAAACGGUUGUGGUGGUGGCGCAUAAAGUCACACAUUAUGUACCACAAUGGACCCAAUUUUACAGGACCACUUAGUUAGGUUUACAAAGAAAAUAUUGGCUUGGAAAAACUUUGGGACACAAUUUCUUUUAGUCAAUCAACCUUCCAUCCUUCCAAAAAAUAUCUUUCUCACACGGUUGCCAGCUUUCAGUUUUGCAUAUUGUCGUAGAUGCUUUUUAUUGUGUGUGUGUGUGUAUGACAACAAUAAAGCAUCAUAAUCGACUUUUCAAUGGAUGUUUUUCCCCUCAAUCAUUUGUCACCCCAACAUAAUACGCUGUUAAGAGGUUGUGGUCAUUUCAAGUAUUUCUGAGGGAUCAGGCUGCUCUGCCUUUCAUUUGCCGGCCCUCUCUUGUUCCUCACCCCUUUCUCUCCCGGCUCCUCGCUGUCCACUUUCAUUGUCUGCCAGGUACAAAGAAAAGAUAGCUCCUUUUUCGUGUUUCAUGUGUAAAAAUUGGAUGACAUGUGGUGAGUUGUGGAUUAAAGUGAAUGUCAAUCACCUUCCUUUUUAUCCACUCUCCUCCAGGCUCUGCUCCCCUGGUGACGUUACGUACCUGGAGGGAUUUUUCAUUUGGCUCUUUUCUGUCUCUCCCGUCCAUACCCUUGUUCGCAUACACUGCACCACAUGCAAAUUGCAUUUGUUCAAGUAACUGUAGCCCACUUACCAAGUAAAUUUCUUUACCCAUUGUUGCGUUUUUUUUCUUCCUACAACCUUAUCCCAUUCGACUCCUCUGUGGCUCCACAUUUGUCUUUUGCGGAUUUCUCUCACGACACGUCCGUCUGUGGCCCUCCAUAUGUCCCUGCAUCUCUUCCUUACCUUGUUAUAUCGGAGAGCUGUGAAAACUGGGAAGAUGAAAAUCUCUCCUCUUUUUAAGUGAUAAAAAUCACAGAGCCUAUAGGCUGCAGCCAGAGCCACUAAGCUUGGGAGGGGGAGGGGGGGGGGGGCGCUUUAGGGAAGAGAGAGAUUGGCAGAAUGAGCCAAAGCAGAAGUGGUAAAGAAGAGCCCUACUUUAUCUGUUUGCAGCUUAAGAAGCUGACCACAGAAACGGUUGAUCGCAUAAACUGCCCUCUAAAUGGCUGGCAAUUUCAUUACCACUCAAGGGAAGGCAGUCGUGAUUUGAUAGCUGGACGGAGUGAUCUUGUUAAACGGGGUUUGGCCUUUUCUUUAGUCAGUCAAAGUGCAGACUCUGGUAGAUUUUGCGUAAUGAUGUGAUCACAUGUGCCACCGGGGCGCUUUAGGGGUGAAUGAGUAGUUGUUUUUUUGGGGGACCAUGGUUUGUAAACAGGACUUUCAAAGUUGGCCCCUCUUCUUUGUUUAAAAAAAAACCCUGAAUGCAUGCACCAAAGGUUUAGGGAGCUCGCCAGCGGAUAACAGCUCACCCCAAAGUAUUUUUCCUCUCAUCCAUCCGUCCGACUCAUCCUCUAAUCUCCUUUCAAAAUAAGAGAAAAACACCACCACAAGGUGAUGAUGAUAUCGAACAGAGAGCAAAUAUCAGCUCGGUUGGCAGUGAAAAAAAUGUUUCCUAGUUGGUGGCUAGUUGGUAAAAUAAAUGCUAUGCCUUUGCUAAUAUUGUGAAGCAUCUGCCGGUUGAGAAAGAAGUCCUGGCAAGGUGCCAAUGCAGUAGUUUUAAUUUCACACCUCACCUGUCCAGGACUCUAAAACAUUUACAGCCAUCUGGUCUUGUGACAAUUCAGACUACUGGCUAUGUUGGCCCUUUGCACAACCCCCCCCCCCCCCCCCCCCCCUUUAAGGCCAAACCCCCACCUCCCCCUCUCUCCACCCCCAGCCUGAACUCUUAAUGUGUGUUUUAACUUUAUUUUUUCUUUGAUAAACCCUUUUUAAUAGUUUAACUGCAUGUGUAUAUUAUUUUUGUAUAUUGUCAGGAGCUACCUGGAUCUUGAAUUUCCCCUAGGGGAUCAAUAAAGUACUUCUAUGCUAUUCUAUGAGAAUUGUAACUGUUAUGCUAACAGUUACAAUUCCACAAAACUUUAACAGUUUACUUCAAUCUGUCCCAAGUGGUCUUCAUUUUCUAGCUGGAGAUUGAUGGCCUCUUUCACAACCCUUUGCAUACAGGAAAUUGCUUUCAGAGUAAGUUCUCCAAAGGAGAAGGUCUGUAAUGAAGCUAAACUGUUAAAAGAGUUAAUGCAACAUUUUGAGUAAGUAAGCAUCGUUGAACCAAGUUAAGUCAUGUGGAGUCAACAGGGAAUUCAUAUAUAUGGUAAUUUUUUUUUUUUUACUAUAAUCGUUUUGAGAGAGUUUUAGCUACUUUGUGCCUAUUGGUAAUGGUUGAAUCUGUGAGAAAUGUGAAAUAAUGUGUGUGUAUUUUUGUAAAUCGAAUAGGGUAGUCCUUGCAAAAGAAUACAGGGUGGGACGUUUUGGAGUCAGCUUUGUCUUUUUUUUGUUCAAAGAUACAAUGGAUUGAUGGGAACAGGCUGUCCUGAAGGUUCAGUUCCACAUUAUAUAAAUUGGGUUUGCUGACGUUUACAGGUUCUGUGUGGAAUUAAAAGCGCUGGUGUUACCAGCUGCUUGUCAAAUUCACACGAGUUAUAAGAUUUGCUGGUUGGAUAAGUCAUCCGUGAUAGUGCAGCAUUUUGAAAACAUCCAACGCGUCAAUUAAUUAGAGAUGGCAGAUGAAACACAGAGAUGGUUUAUCGAUAAUUUGACAGACCCUGUAUGCUCCAUCUGUAUGAAUAUAUAAAAAGGUAAGACUUAUUUGAAAAGGUUGUCGCUUUUGAGUACUGUAUUUAAUUAGAUCUAACAUAUCAAAAUGUUCCUUUCUUAGUUUUAAAGCAGUUAAGCAAAAUUACGUCACUUCUUUUUAACCUUUGACAUUCCUGAUGUUGCAGUUGUUUACAAUAUGCUUAUACAGUAAACUUUGACAGUGCAAAAUGAGAUGCUUACCUGGCAAUCCGCCACACUCAGAAGUACUCACUCAUCUUGGAGGUCCUUUUCCUCCUCGCGGAGGGGUUCAGGUCAAAUAGCCAUUACCAAGACCCAGAGACAAUUCACUUUAAGUUUGGCCAACGCAGCACUUUGAUCUGGACUGAAUAACAUUACGCGACCAUUAGGGCAGCAAGUAUGGACUAUCGUGUGUACAUUAAAGAAGAAAAGUAGGAAUAAUCUUCACAUCAACCCUCACAGCAGACAUCAAUCAUGCCAUUUUGAAACUGGGUUUUACAGUUUAUUUUUUCCUCCACCUGUCACAUCCAAAAUAAGUUUGAUGGGAAAACGUUAAUACCUCUGACACUGACACACAGUAAAAGAGCAGUUAAAUCUUUUGUAACAUGUCGAAUCUGUUUAAAAGAUGGGAGAACAAAGGAGGAUGCCAACUUUACUAAGGGACUGGUAAAACAUUUAACCACUUUUACCCCACAAAAGCCACUGCUGUACAAUGAAAACCACCGUAACAAAUGAAAUUACCAUUAAUAGCGGUUUUCCCUUGAUAGUUGAAGGCAUGAAAUGCUUUCAGUGUUUUUGCACUCCAGUUUUGGGAGAAACUGGAAAUUUGAAAUAUCCUCUUAUAUGCAUUGGCAUUCCGCUCGCCUGCUCAAAACGGUGUUUGUUUAGUGUUUUAAAGAAUGCUCCUUGACAUAAUUUAUAGCCAUGUUUUACCGAUACAGUAUGAAGAGGUCAUUGAAUUAAAGAGAGUUGAAGUGAACUUUUAAAAAUAUGAGAAAAGAAGAGGUUAAAAGACGGUGUGGUGGGCAAACAAGUGGGAGAUGGAAAAGAGGAGUAAUGCAUCACAGUGGCAGAGGUCAGAGAAGAGCAGGCUAUGUAAUUAGCUAUAGAGCUUGGUAAUCAUGCAGCUAAUACACUGUUUCGGCAGAUAAUUAGUCACACCACCGUACCAGGAUGUCUAUAUAUAUAUAUAUAUAUACUAUAUAUCUCUAUUAUUUAUUAAUUUUUUGCUGCUUUUGUGAUACAGUUCAUGCAAGGGAAGCAGGGACACAUUCGUGCUCAUCGAUUCACGUGGCAGCGAUUUCACGUCGUCUUUACAUACAACAAGGCUCAAAUAACCUCCCAACCUCCCCUUUUGUGUUCUUUUUCCGUUCAGCGUCUUUUCCUUGUCUGUAGUGCGUCUCCCUCCCUCCGCCCGGCCGCCUCCUCGGUGCGUUCACAGCAGACCCCCCAGAGAAGGGGCUAAUGAGGGCUAACGAUGGGAACGCAUGCUGCUGUUUCCCUUUCAUUAACGGGGUCCACACUCGCUCACAGAACACCGCUUUUCCUCAUCAGCAAACCGCCAUCAUUGUCGGCUCUUCUUCUCCCUCCAUCUAUCACCUCCUCGCUCUGCCUCCUACCCUUCACCUCUGUCAUCACUCAAAAUGGAGUGGCUUUCCUCCAUUUCUCCUCAAUCUGUACUCAUCCUCGUUGCCUUUUGCAGGUCUUUCUCUUACCAACACCACCACCUCGAUGAAUGCGAGCAUGUGGCAACGCUGUCCUAAUUAAUGCUCGAUGCUAAUUAAUUGGGUAGUCGCAGCCGUUUGGUGAAACACACACGUGUGAUCACUCCACAGUCUCUGGGAAACAGAAGAAGGCGCUUAGAACCUCUGGCUCUGGGGGAUCUUCAAUUGUUGGAUACAAAUUUGAAGUAUUUUUACGAUGACAUACUGUAUUGCGUUGUUUUGGGUGACAUGCAUCAAAGAUCCUUGACAGUUCAUAGGUAUCAUCUAAAAGGACUUCUUCUGUGAAGAUAAAUAAUAGUAGUGAAGGCCUUUCUAAACAAGUCCAAACGAUUGUGUUAUCUUCUUUUUUUGACACGUGUUUUAAAUGCAUGUUUGUCAAUGAAGAUGAAUUGCUGAAAGCAUAGGAAUUAAAAAAAAGAUGGCUAAUUGUCAAGAUGUGUGUAUGUUCAGAGGAUACCGUCAGGCCAACACGACUAAUCUUAAAUCUCUAUUGGCGGUGUUUAUGAAUCUGUAGUUGUAAUCUCCUUAGUCUUUUUUAUGGCGUGGAUGCCAUCUGGCCUCAGGAAACCAUGAGACGUUAGCUGCCAGAGACAAUAGUGCGAUGCAACAUGGCCUUCGUGCUCUUAUAUUCAGAGGUGUAGCUCUAGUGGGUUUGGUGGGUUCUAAGAAUGAGGCAAUUACAAGAGAGGUAUGAGUCAGUGUUGUCAAUAGAUACAGUAGCCUUGGGAGACCAUCAGUCAAUCUUCUUAGACAAAAGAGAAGUAACACAAAGGAUGUAUCCUUGUUUUAAGUGUUCUGAACCAUGGACACUGCACAUUAGAGAUUUAAGCACAUCAAUGAACAAAAACUAAAUAACAAAAUAGACAUUUGAAAAAUAAAUUCAGCACAAUUCUCUUCUAUUGCUUUUGUUUAUUCUGUAAUACGCAAAAAGGAAAAAGGUCCCGUCUGUGUAAAUCCUCACCAACGCCUGCAUCAACCUUUCCCAUUUCAUAUGCUCCUGCACCAGGAGGCGAGGGGGCUCAUGUUCCAUGGCUUUAACAGACACAUUUACAAGCUGCCAAGAAAAUGAAUAAAACAUCAAAGUCAGUACACGGGCAGCUGCGGCAGCUCACAGUGGCUUUUUGGUAAAGAUUAGGGGAGAGGCGAGGGGUGGGUGAUUGCACUUCAUGUUUGAUACAUGUUUGGCACACGCAACAGGCUCAAUCCAAACAGAACAUCUCAGGGAUUUUCUCAGUCCAGCAUUGUAUAAUUUAAUAGUUGCCCACAGGCCAACUAUCCGGGUCCUGCGCCGGUAAUUGUCACUGUGUUGCUCGGAAAAAGGAACGCACGGCGGUUUCUGUUUCGUGUCAGAAAAGAUUGACGGGUGUUUCUGAAGCUCCAAGAUUAUUUUCCAAGGUUCCUUGAUAUUUUAAAAACCUAGUCGCCAAUGUUUUUCAGGCUCCCGAAGAAGCCGGAUAACCGAGAAACUUGUGGUGGUAUAAUUGAUUACUUGUGGUUUUGUUUUGCUACCACACUGAAACUCUCCGUCUGAGAGACUGGGAGUGCUUCCAAGUUUUUUUUUGCACAAGAUUGGUGUCUGGCAGAUGUGCGCAUAGUCCUCUGAUCACCACUGGGCUGCCAGUAGGAACCGCACCAUCUCCUCUCGCUGACGGUCAUUGAUGAUUUCAAUUUUGCUCUGUGAUUCCUUUACGCUCUGCGCCAUGCUCAUAAUAGAUUUUGCGCCUGUUGCACUUGCGGUUGUUUUUGGCUCAAAUCGAUUCGGUAAGCGAUAUAUAAUUGGAUAGCAUCUUGCUUCAUUAUCUUUCCCCAUGAGAUGCAUGGCAGCCAUUUCUUCUUUCAACACCUGCUGUCUGCUCUUCAAUCCUGCAACUCAUUCUUCCUCUCGGCCUUUCUAGCGGGCAUUACAUUUUUUGUAUUUUUUAUUCCACUCUAUUCUCUGCUCGUCUUCCCCUGAGUGCUCUAAAGUUGUCUUUGUCAAACAAAUGUGGCAAUUAAAACUUUCUCAUUAAAAUGUCCCUGCGAUGCUCCCUCUCCUCUUUCAAAGUAUCACCCCUUCCUCAUCUGUCGGUCCGGAGGGCUUCAGGAGGAAGAGAUGGUUCACUGUUGCCAUGGCAGCUCCUUACCGGCUAUUGAGCCGCCGGUCAGGUGGCUGGAGCAGCUCAGUAAGAGGUUCCCACACCACUCGACUGGAUAUCCUGUUUGAGUGGCACUUAACUUUUAGGCCUACUUCUUUUUUAAAAAUGAUGAAUUAUGCAAAACAUUUAAGAGGACAAAGGGUUUUGGUUCCAGGUUCUAAGAAGUUAAUGAUUUUCUUUCCACGACAUUGUGGAUGGGUUUUAGACGGUCGCUAAGAACAAUUUAGAGAAUUACAAAUGUUUUUUUUUUUUUAAAUUUGGAACACCUUUUUUUUCCCGUUAAAAAAUAGAACACCAUUUCUUUUCCCGUUAAAAAAUGGAACACCGUUUUUUUCUCCGUUAAAAAAUGGAACACCGUUUUUUUUCCCGUUAAAAUUUGGAACACCCGGUUAUUUUUCCGUCAAAAAAUGAAACACCGGUUUUUUUUCCCGUUAAAAAUUGGAACACCGUUUUUUUUUCCCCUUAAAAAAAAUGGAACCCCGUUUUUUUUCCCGUUAAAAUUUGGAACACCGUUUUUUUUCCUGUUAAAAAAUGGAACACCGUUUUUUUUCCCGUUAAAAAAUGGAACACCGUUUUUUUUUCCGUUAAAAAAAAUGAAACACCGUUUUUUUUUCCGUUAAAAAAUGGAACACCGUUUUUUUUCCCGUUAAAAUUUGGAACACCGUUUUUUUUCCCGUUAAAAUUUGGAACACCGUUUUUUUUCCCGUUAAAAAAUGGAACACCGUUUUUUCCCGUUAAAAUUUGGAACACCGUUUUUUUUCCUGUUUUUUUACCCGCCAGCGUGGCUGAGGGUGCUUGAGUCAGAUGAGCGAGCGUCCCAUGGUUCCUUGACCUGAGACAAGGCGAACUGGCACAGGACACGUGUGUGUACCAUGUGUGUAUGAAUCAGGGGCAGGGCAGACAAUCAGACCUUCACACGGGGGGAAGGAGCAAGUUGCCUGAAACGAGAGGGAGGUUCAUUUUCAAAAUAAAUAAUAAGGAAAUCACGAGACAUAGACUCGAGACAAUUUCACUAACAUAGUUUCCUGGACAUAGCAUACAUUUAAAAUUUAGAUUUAUAUUCAACAUUUACAUUUAUAUUUAACAUUUACAUUUAGUUUGUGUUACUGCCAAACAUUAUCCCUGGAUAAGUUAUUGGAUGAAUUUACAUGAAAAAGUGACAAAUGAAUAUUGUCGUGCUUUUAUUUUCAUACGACAAUGAUAAACAUAGCAAAACUGCGCAGGAUUUUAGAAAGUUUUUUUUUAGAACUUUUUACAAAUGGCGCCCCAUAUCGCACCACAUGUCGUCAUUGACCACGCCCAUCCAUGCACUGAUGGCAGGGGCUAACAAGCCAGUGGCCUCCUGCCAAUCAGGAGUAUCAAAUCAUUAUCGUCAAUGGAUAUGCUGCAGGCACCCUGCAGGAUACAUUUGGGGUUAAGUGUCUUUCCCAAGGACACUUCGGCACGGAUUAGCAAUGCCCGGAAUGAAAUCACGGAUCCACUGAUUGAAGGACAGUCCUGUCAUUUGAGAUGGAAUCGCUGUGCCGUUAUAAAAUAAAACAUUACUUUACUAUUUUUAUCACAAAUGGAUACAAAUUUCUCCUUUUUCUUCAUAGAUAAUUACUGUUUGUGUGUUAAGAACAAGGAUUUAGGAUUUAAUUUCAACCUUACAUUUUUUAGUUAAGGUAUAUAAUAAUAAGUUAUCAAUAAAUGGUGAUUAAUCAUACAAGGCAGGGAACCACCUAGGAACUAUUUGUAAGUAUACAAUAUAUACAAACAGUAUAUACUAUGUGCUAUUGUAUUAUUUAACCACUGUUCAAAAGUCAUAACAUUUUUUUAAAUAAGUAAUGUUUAUUUCUUCAAAUGAAACAAAAAUUAAGUUUUUAAACUAAAAUCUCAAGUGCAUUAUUUGCGACACAAAUGUCAACAAAAAGCUGCAUACAGUACGUUGAGUACCAAAAGGUUUACAACAUAAUCGUGAUAAUUAUGAUAAACAAAAUUAUAGCUUUAACUGUACAAAUUAUUUCCCUUAAUAUAUUUCAAAUAACCUCGUCCUGAAUUAAAAGAUUCAAUCCCUAAACACAUUACUACAUUGUUGUACUCUUCACCAGACACCUGGCAGUGCUUCUGCUCACACAGCUGAGCCUCAUUUGCCCUGAUGGAGGUCACGGAUGAAACCCUGAUGCAGCUUCAGGAUGUGCAUCUCUAAGCCUGCGCCUGUACUUGCAUUUAUUAAAGUUUGUAAUCGAGAUGAGUGUCUCAUGCAGAUAUGUGUCCAAAGUACCCAAAACACAUGAUCACUUUAGAGUCGCUGUCCAUGGUGCGGCAGCGACGAAUCGCCAGCUCCAUCCAUCCCUGCUCUUUGUCAGACCAGGGUCACAGUAGCAUUAGAGCAGUGCAGAUGCAACCCUCCCUGCAGACAUACAGACAGGAUUUCUACAGAAAACCCUCAGGAAUAACAUUAUUAUUAUUUUUUUUUUUUUCGUCAGGGUUUUUAAGCUUACCUGCUGUACGCUUUAUUUGAGACAGCAGUGGGUCGGACAUUGAAUGCAAUUGUGAAUUGGAAAUAUUAAAGCUGCUCUGAUCAAUGUGUUUGCAUUGACAAAGGAUUAAAAGAAGUCUUUCUAUUGGAAAAUGUGUCACUCAGAUGAGCCCCCCUCCCCCCCUCACAGUUAUUGUGAAAUUCUGCAAUUCCCCUUAACUCUGAGUAUUAUUGCUUCUUUUACCGUAUUUUCUAUAAUACACCACAGCCCCUGCUGUUUGCUUAACACGUUCCCAGCAGCAGCAGCACGCGGCUUGUUUCAAGCAAACAGGCUCUGAUGCCCCCACUGCAUGCUGCAUGCCCCACAUCAAACAGCUGAGGGAUAAACACCAACUACAUUUUCUUUGGAGAUGUUGGAGGCUAAAACAGAGCUACGUUGUGAGUGGAUUUUGGGCAUUUAAAAAACCCAACAAGGUUUGCAUUUGAUGAAACAUCAAUGAAUGCCGCUUUCAAGUACUGUGUUGCUGCUUGCUUUAAUAUAUCUCUUAAUUCACAUUAACAAAAGGAUACCACAAGAAGGCAUAUCCUAAUUGUGACGCACUGUUUAAAGUAAUCGCCGUCUGAGUGCUGGAAACAACGAUACAAGCUAUCUGAAUCAUCAGAGGCCGCGUUGAAGUUGAAUUUGUUGCAAUCACCAAAAAAAUUUUGCCGGCAUUUGCCAGCAGUGUUCCCUCCCACACGAUCUCUUGCAUAUUGGCUUCAUAUCGAUAUGCAGACAUGAUAUCGUCACCUUUCUUUUAUGGAGUUGCUUAAACGCUGCAUUGCUGCCUCUCAGUGAGUUAGAGCCAACAAUGUGCUCAUUGUUUCAUGUUUUGGCCGGGUACUUCUAAAUUUUCGGCACAUUUGGAAGCUUUGGCAAAGCCUUGAAAAGCGACUCGGCUGUCGGAGCGCAGCUCUUGUGGACAUUCGCCACUGGGAGUUAUAAUAAGGCACCACCCCCACUCCCAAAACUUUUUGCUUCAUUAUUCCCCUCACACUGUCAGGGCACAUAGGAGCACAUAUAGGCUACACCCAGCUUGAAACAUGUGCUAUAUUGGGGACUUAGCAUUUCGAUUUGCUUAAGCAAUUUAAACAUUUUAUUUAUCAGCAUGUUUAGUCUCAACAUACUGACAAGAGAGAAUGAAUGUAGAGAGCAUUUUUACGCAUGUGGGUUUUUACAGAUUUAGCUUAAAUAAAAAACGGGAAUUGAACGAUAAGCAGAUUUUUCUUUCUCUUCUUUUUCUGCACCUGAGAUAUGAGCACUCUACACCCUCAGUUUUAUUGUGCAUGAAUGUGCACAUUGCCUGAAUACACUUAGGAGGCUGUGUACGGGAGAAUACGGAGUAAGGUUACUGUUGGACUCGUCCUUUUGUUUCUCAUGAGAUGCCUCACCAAAGAUCAUCAGCAGUCAAGUCUCAUUCCUCCCCUCGUCCCAUGUCUCAUCUCCCUCCCAAUCCAUUGCAUUUCAUUGCUUCCACUUCCUGUUGCCUUGUUGUCUGCACCGCAUGCUGUGUGAUGAAAGGCCAAUCAAGUGGAAAAAGAGGAUCCUGACGUGGAAACAAAGUGCUGGGCAUCUCCCCUUGUCUUCUUGCACUCAAUGCCGGUGAAGCUAAAAUUAUAUCCCACACAUGGAAAGACACAACCCGUGAGUGUGAGAGAGAGUGCGAUUGGAAAAAGAAUGGAAAUGUAUGGCUUGUGUGUAGCAGACUAUAAGAGUAUAAUCCUGAUCAACAUAGACAGCUUGCACUCAACUUGUUCUAUAAUAUACGUACGUAUGUGCUAUUCCAUGCACAGACAUAUUUGAACAUAUUUUUCAUACCUGUGUGUUUGCAGGAAUGAGUGUGUUGUGUAUGUCUGUCUGUGAUAUUGUGAAUGAGGUAGAGAUGAAUAAGGAUCGUUAAAGCAGCCAAGGAUGUCUCCAAGGGUCCUGACUCCUCCCUCAAGACAGUUUUUUAAAUGUCAACCUCAGGGCCCAUCUCGAAGUUCAGGGUUCCUGAUGUUGGGUGAUAUUACAGGAAUUAUUUCCAUUGUGACUCUAUUUUUUCCUCCAAGCCCCAAUCCACAGCAUGGCAGUCAUUUGAGGAUAUACUGUGGCAGUGCUGCUGGGGUAGUCCCUUGGUCGGAUAUUGGAAAAGUCUGACAUUUUCCCUCAGUCUAUAUUUUCCAACAAAUCACAUGUUGUACGUAUCUCACAUUCAGGCCACAGGCAAUGACUUAACAGUUAUCCAUGGACCAAUAUCUGUGUUGUAAGGACUUUCAUUGACUGGCUGGCAUUUUACUAUGACAUUCAGAAAGCCAAUUUUCUUCCAUUGCAAAAAACAAGCAGAUAAUUUGGUUUUUGAUAAUGUCCUUAGCUGAUUCAAAACUCAGAUCACGUGUCAGCGAUAUAUAUAUAUAUAUAUAAAUAAUACAUUUUUAUUGUAUAUUUUGCUGAAGGAAAGCAUUUAAUAGACACACCAUAUUCCGUGUUGCUUGCAGGUUUUGAGUGUGUAUUGAUUUAAUAUACCAACAAAUCAAUAUUGUAAACCCAGUUAGUUUUUUCAUUCGUAAAUAUUGUUAGCAACAUGGUGAAAUAGUGUCUUCCUGCAACCCCCCACCUCCCUCUUUUUCUCCCUUAUUUACCCCUGAACCCAAGUAAAAUGACAACCACGGUGACUCUAGGAUUCAUGGGCUUGUCAUGGAAAUUAAAAAUGCUAAAUAUCAAUGACAUCACCAUUCAGCAGGGUUUAUAGGGAUUUCUUUCUGCGGGGAAAGUUUUUCCUCAUUUCCACAGAUUGUAUAGAACGGUGUGAUUUUGGGUCUCUCGAAAAAUCAAAUAAAUUGAAUUGAAUUGGUAGGGUCGGAAUGGCGUCCUCGUGAGAAGUUGGACAUUGGCUUCACAGGCCCACAGGGCAGGUCAGUCUAACCUGGGAAUUGAUCCAUCAACAGCUUCUCACCACUGCACAGAUAAGAGAGCAACCAGCUUCUACAUCCAUUUUAGCCCUUACAGCACAGAUGGGGUUCCCACUCAUGGUGAUUUCAGUUUGAGCUUUGCACAAAUACUUCCUUUGAAACUCAAAAGACUAAGUAGUAUUCAAGCACAACAAUUACUCUGCAAAAUGACUGUGAAAAUUGUUGUUUGUUCACGACUAACAUUUCUGGGCAGUGAGGUUGUCUAUUUAGCCCUGAUCCCUCAGCCAGCUGUAAUGUACUGCUAAGAGCAUAACUUGAAUCAUUAUACACAGCUCUAAAAAUGUUUUGUUUUUUGCAAAACACCUCCAGUAGCUGGCUUUUGACAUAUUUAUAAUAUUACGUAUGGACUUAAGAAGGGGGAUUUCUGUCUCCCGGUUAGACAAGUUCAACAAGUCAACAUGCACCACCCAUAGCGAAGAAAUGUAACUGCACCAACAAAACGCUCGCCUGCUUCCUUACGAAAGUCAAAAUAUUUUUUCUUCAACUUAGUGGCAUCGAUUACUGCCUGUGACCGUCUUUCCUUUUGGCUCUUUUUUUUAACCCAGCAGUGUUUCUUUUCGAUGGGGAUUCUACGCUAAUCUUGCACACCGGGCAGGCUGUAGGCUAGUUCAAAAUGCCCUUUAUUUCACUGUGAACCUUUUAACGCCCUCAAGAGCAGUCUUUGUUUUGAAAGGUCCGGUGUAUUUUUUAUUUAUUUGUUUUACUCUCUUCAUUCACAAAAUACCUGUUUCCCUUUUAAUAAUUUACUGCCCCUCUACUUUUGUGGAGAUAGCUUCCAUCAGCUAUCGGCUACUGCAUCAACAGUACAUCUUGUGUGUGUGUGUGUGUGUGUGUGUGUGUGUGUGUGUGUGUGGACUGUAUGGAAGUCAUGCCACUGUUCCCAGAACCUGCUCCAACCAGCCAUGAAUGGCUCAGGGCAGUCUCUCAGAGCAUGAACGAAACCAGCUAAAGUGUGCAUUAAGAUGUUUCACAUUUAUGAUCCAUGAACUUCCCCGCAGAAAAGUGUGAUUUUAUCCAAUAAAUAAAUCGUGCUCAGGUAGAAGAAAAAAGCCUUUUGCACCGGCCUUGCUGCCUUUCAUGAGCAAUGUGUUUUUGUUCAGUGGUUGACACCAAACACAUUUUUUGGGUGUGUGCUGUUGAGGUGGAUAUUUUUUGAUGCAGGGGAAAAUAAUGAUGCAUUUAAUUAAAGUCACUUUGCUUGUGUGCUUGUCAGAAUCAAAACGAGUUUUUGAAAACCAAUGCUUACUGUCCUCAUAAUGGCCAUUAGAUGUUUAUGGAGUCAAGAUGCACCAGCAGUGCCGGCUGUCUGUUUUCAUUCAGUCUGCAAAAUGCAAAGAUCAAAGCAUCUCCAAUCUGAACACAUAGUAAGUUUAUUUUCCUGCCAUUUGUUCACAUACAGGGAUCAAUAUAAAAUGGUGCAAAACACAUUUGCAGUCAUUUGUUAUCCAAACGUCAAGAUGGAUUCAAUAUUCAUCAAGUAUCAACUGUAGGAACAGUUUAGACAUCUCCGCAGAAAAUAACUGCAGGCGAUGCAGGAGAUGAAGCAGUGAAGAUACUUCAAAAGCACUAUUAUCUUUGUUCUGAAUCAUUAUUUAUUCACCCACAAUACUGCUGUUUUUUGUCUCUGGUCUGACUUCAUUUCCUGCUAUGAACCUUCAGCCCUUUGCUGCUGCUCUUGCGAAACAAUGGCAGGCAAGCCUUUUGUUAGGUGGAAUUAGGGAGAAGAGUCCUUCACCGAGGCACAGGGUUGCAAACACAUUGUCUGUCAGUCUUUUAAAGGCACGCCCCCGUGCACAUAGUAGAUUUGUCCUCUGUUAUCUCUUUGCAGCUUAUCUACAUAAUUCAUGUCAGUGCUUUAGUAUUGAGAAAUGGUGGUGGAGACGGCUGUUUCCCGUGACAGCUUUCCAAUAUCUUCAACCUGGUUAAUCAAGCAGCAAGUUCAUGCACCCACUAAGGUUUUAUGCCCCUUGGAGUAUUAGUAUUUAUUAAUAGUUUUUUUAAUUGUGGUGGAUGAAUCUGCAACAGAAAGAGGAUAAAUAAAAAUAAAACCAUGGAAAGUGAUUUCUAAGCCCGUCUGUUGUGGAAUACUUGAUUAUGAGCUUUGUAUGUAAGGGACUCCGUCAAUGGGCCAACAUUUUUCUGGAAGAAAGAAGUACUUUUUCUGAUAAACCAGGAAUAUUUUUCAUAUUGUUUUAUGGUAUUUUAAUCAAAGGGCUUAAACGUGUCUCACCAUUAGGUACAAAGAAAAUGAGACCAGGAGAAUAGACAAAAUCUUGUCUGAAAAAAUUGAAAAAAAAAAUGAAAGGAGAAUAGAAAGUUUGUCACAGUUGAGGCACUGCCACAGAGCAACUGAGUGUGGUGCAUUGUGGGGCAGAGUCAUCUGAAUUUCUAAUGACGGCUUCAGCACUCCGGGGCGGCUGCAGCAGCAAAGCUCGUCAGUAAAUCGACAGCAAGGCAGCAGAUCAGCAGGGAAAGAGGGGCGGGGGAUGUGUUUUGGUGGGGAGGGUGGAAGGGGUAAGAAAACGACACGGGUGGAAAGGUGAAGUGGGGAUUCAGGUUUGCACAGACACACACACACACACACACGCAGGGGUGUGCGUUUGCACGCUCCCUGCCCUCGGCCCUCUCACCCCUCACUCUCCCAGCGGGUGAUUAGUAUGAGCAGGUGCACAGGACGGUGACCCCUCUCCACCCGUGUUUUGCCUGCAGCGACUGGCGCGGAGGAAAGGCCCCGUGUUGCUUAGGCAGCAACGGUUGAUAAAUGAGCUUGUAGGAAAUAUUGUAUUCAAGGAAACUAUGGACUCGCAUUCAGUACUUUUUCAUUUGCCGUAUCCAUUUGAUUUCACGGUGGCAUCCAAAAGUAGCACGCUAUUGCUCAAGGUUCUUUUUUGUUUAAUGGACCUCAGGCUGGAGGUUUAUGGAAAAGUUUAUUUCAAGAUGAAUUCAACAUGCCCAUGGAACGGUCUGACAUUGAUUUUGUUAAAUAAGUGCUGUAUAAUUUCACAUGUGUUAUAAAUUUGUUACUAGUCUGGAGUACAUUAUGAAAUAAAUAUUCCUUGUAUAAAUAGAAAUAUGACACAUUUUUUUUCCACAGAAAGUGGUAUAAGCCAUUGUCCUUUGAUUUUACUCAUUAAGGGUGAGUUUACUCAAGAUGGAGAGCGAAGGCAGUUACAGAGCUUCCUCAGACAAAGUCUAUGUUCCAAACUGAGCAUGUGGAGACAAUCCCUCAUGUCUAAUUACACGCCAUCCAGUUGCUUCAUGGGAAAUGAAUAAUCCGGGUUGUCACGCCAGAAUCACAAUGUCAGGAUAUCUCGGGCCCUGCUGCGUUCAUCUUUGACCCCUCCUAAGGUGAUGCUCCUGUAAAGCAGGUUAUUUUCAUCAUUCAAGUAUCCUUAAUUAACUGCAGAACAUUUCAUGUAUUUAUUAACCGAUAGAAAAAACAAACGUGUUGUGACGUUGCACUGUGACCCAACAAGGCUUCAGCAGCAGCGUUCAUUCAAACAAGGUCGACCCGCUGAGAGGUUUUUCUGCUCCUGUGUCUACCGCUGCAAAUUUGCGUGAUUGGAAGGAUUUCAUGCCAUUCGAGUGCAAAUCCAGGUGUCCUGUUGCACUGAUACUCCUCCAUAACCUGUGGAAAAAAUGAGCCGAUUUUAUGGGAGCAAAAUGCACUCACCCCUCAAAGCUGAAGUGUCCAACCAUCCUCAGACAUAAACAACGAGGAUUAUUGCUCUUUUCAAGCUAUAUUUUGAUAUUCCCUAAUUUUCUGAUAAUAGCGUGUAAUGGAACUUCAUGAUGAGUACGUUACAUGCUUUCCCCUGCAUGUAAACCUUUGUAGCUUCAGUGUUAGUGUCAUUGUAACUUACAAAGAAAUACAUUCACAUUUGUAAACAUGACAGUUGAAAUAAAACGCAGUCCUCCGGGUACCUGGACUUGAAAAGUCCAAAAUUCAAUUGUACAGUAUUCAAUAUUAACAAACUAAAGAGUAACAAGGAGCAUUAGUAUUUAAUUAGUAUAAUGCAUGGUGUUCCUUCUAACGAAUAGAAUAACAAAUGGCCCUGCAAAUGCAUUUUAUUACAAAUCAAUAUUGUACCGUAAAAGAUUCACACAAUGUGCACAGCAGCAAAGCAUAUUUCAGUGACUUAUUUUCCAUAUCCCAUUGUUGGACAGUAUUAUGAUUGUCACUAUCUAAGGCAAAUGGAAGUUGGUGUUUUGAAGUCGUAGUCAUAGUGGUAGGUCACACUCUAAUCCAACCCAGAAUUGAGAAACAUGUAGUCACUCUGCUAAAGGAACAAUCAACCAUUACUAAAUGACAUUAUGCAAGAAUGCAUUUUAAGAAAAUGUUUCGACAGAAAUGGAUUUUUUUUAAAAGCCACAAAUAUUUUAACUGCAUCUUUUACUUGCAGAAAAGUACUGCUGCUUCAUAAACGGGGAUUAUGUAACAACAUUGAAGCUUCUCCAAAGGAGAUGUUCAUAGAUGUUGACAAAGUAUCCAGUUUCAUUACUCCCAUCGCAGACAGAAUUGAUGCCCCGUGCCCUAUAAUGAGAGAAUAAGCACAGUGAUGUUGCGACUUGAAUGAAGGAGGCGAUCUAUGGGCGCUAACGCGACAUGGCUCUAAGUAGGCCGACGGGAUGGGGAGAGCUGACUAUAAAGAGAUGAUUCCGAUAAAGAGACUUGAUGAGGCUGGAUGGCUGAAUGUUCUCUCCACGGGGGUGAGCGAGCUGAGCCGUCAUGGUGGUAGUUCUGCAGCUCUGAUGAAGUGGAAGGGAUUAUGACAUUAGGUCGGGUAAGCGUUUCUGAUUUUGAGGGAGGUUUGGUGCUGCAGCAUUAAGUCCGUGAAACUCUUCCUGAUUCACAGUGGGGACAGAGCAAUAUUUACUGUGUUCACUUCAUAGGGCCUUUUUUUUAUUUAAUAUCGAGGAAAAAAAAGGUUCAUCUUUGGCCACAGCUGCGUGAUCAUCGGUACUGUGAGCGGGUCCCUAGAGGCUCCUUUCCAACAUAUUGAAUUUGAUGCUGAGUGUCUUGUGUGCAAAGGGGGUUUGAUAGUUAGUCAGCGGAAAUGCCAGUCGGUUGCCAAGACAUUGGAACCUUUCCUUUGGGGACGAUGAAUAUCCACUGAAAAAUAUAUAGAAACACAUUGAUUAGGCCUUCAUCUUGCUAGAGAGGAUGUCAAAACGGUCCUCCAAAAUAAUAACCAAUCCCACCCGAUGACCCCUGUGAGUGCCUCCAUUGCAGGGUGGACAUGUUUGCUGUUGCUAUUCAAAAAUGACCCAUUAGUCUGUAUUUCAUGACAGCACUUAAUCUCUUGCCAGCUCCUAUAACCGUCGGGAUUUUCAGGGGCAAUACUUUUUUUGGCCUAUUUCACCUUAGUGAUGCUCUAUCUGGCAUUAGUAUUAGCAUUGCAUCGCUGUACCGUUUAGGAGCAGAUAUGUAAGGAACUCUGUACUUCUAUUUCUGUGGGAAUCAAAACGAGCCCCAACUCUCUGUCAUCUGGGAGUCUCGUGGCCCUGAAUACAAAAACGUUGGAUUAAAAUCCUAAUGAUAACUACCGUUUAACCGCAUAAGGUGUGACACUCAAAUGUAACUAGGAAGACAGUAUUGCAUUUCCCCUGAGAGUUUUAAUUGAAUUGAAGCGGCAAUCAUGUUGAGUUAAUUACCAUUAGCUUGCCUUCUGUUUACAGUGAACCACAGGUAAAUCGCUGCAGAUAUGAUGACUCUCCUGGUGUGCAGUUGCUGUGCAACAUUAUAGCUACGGAUCAUGCCGGGAAAUGGGGAGGUCCAACUUUGGUUUGAAAGAUGUUAUGAAUAGCAUGUCAAAAAAAAAAUAAUCUGAGAAGGGCAAGGGAAAUAUUUGAUUAAAAAAAUAACUGGAUAAUAAAGUAAAUUCACCUUGCAUAUUGUGCAAUGCUUAUAGGAUUUUAUGUAUCAUGAUAAUAAUGAAUAAGCUGUCACGACAUUAACUAUUAUUAAUUAUAUACUCAUACAGGAUUGCUAAGGAAGCUUUCAGUUAUUUCAAUUUGUGGCUUCAGUAAAAGCUGAAAGUUAAAAACAAAAAGGCCUGAAGGAGAACUAUAGUAUUUGAGCUCCUCAAAAUAUUUGGAUUUUGUUGGUCCAGAGUCUGUGUGAUAAAUUCCAUCACUCAGAUGCAAAGACAUAAAUGUCAGCGGGGCAGGGGUUCCAGACAUUAGUAAAUGCUAUUAAGACAAUACAAACAGUGACAUUUUCCUGCAAAACUUCAAUGGGAACUUUGAUUCUAAUCUUGGCGCUUAAAAGCAUCGGAUAUGUUCUCACUUCUCUCUGAAAAUGGUUAACAAUCAAGCUGUGAAAUGUGCUUCUCAUAAAAUAUGUGGAUUGAUACCUUAGCUCAAGACCGGAUCUAAAAUAGAAAAACUCCCAGCCGAAUGUUAGCACGGCACACGGCCCUGCGCGGAUAACUGAAUUGCAUCCCAUUUUGCAGCAGGUGUUCAAUCUCGCUAAAUGAAGAUGUGAGGUGCGGAAUAAGCAAACGGCGGUUCAAUCACCCAAAACCCGGGCCUAUCUCCUGCUCCGGCGCUCACCGAGAGCAUCUGAGGGAGAGGAGCUGACGAUGUGAGUUUGCAUCUGUGUGUGUCGACGGGAGAAGAUAAGGGGAGCGAAGCAGCUCUUCUCUCGACGGACGCCAUGUCUCCUUUCAGCUGCUUGACGCUCAAAGAGGUCUCUCCGCCGUGUCCCCCCUCCCCCCUCCCCCGACGCUCUCUGUCUCUCGAACAACACCGACGACAUGUGCAAAUCCCAAAACACAGUUCCAUUAAAACCUUUUGGCUGCUGACAAGGCCCCAGAAGACGGCUGACAUGUGCCGCCUCUGGGGGGAGCGUGUUUUAGUCGUGUCACCCUGUCUCGUUCCCUGAAGUGAGGAGUAACACAGAGAAACUGGCUGAUGCGCCGUUAGAAUGGGCCACACGCGUGUGCAUGCUAACGAUACAACCGAGCCUCACCAACAUUGUGAAAUGAUCCGUGACGUCCAGAAUGUACAGUUAUCAAAAUGCCGAUGAAUGAGCAAAGAGACGGAAAAUAUAUACAUUUAAAACAGUUUUCUCACAUCGGCAUGCAUAUGAUAUUUUCGUCCUGCUGAAUUACAUAAAACAAUGAGAUCCUCUAAUACACAGCUAUUUACGCUGCUUUCUUUUUAAAAAAGCACAAGCAAAGUUUACAAUAUUCUAUUGUUUAAAGCAUACAUAGGAUUUACCAUCGAACCCGACAGUGAAUUCACUUUGUCCUUUGGCCAUUGGUUCGUCAUCACAAUAGGCAAUUUGUCGUAUUUAAGGUUACACAACAAAACUGAUGUACAGAGUUAAAAUGUUAUGAAUGAAAAGGUUCCAACUGCAUGUAGUACACACUGCAAAGAUAACAGCAAACUGCAUUCUUGAACAUUGAUUACUGUAAAUUAUGCUCAAAUGAACCCAUUUUUGGCACACCUUGCACUGUGUCCCCAUUCAGCAUUUCAGGUUACACUUUGACGUCUGCAGCAGGCUCCAGGUCUGCAUUUUUUCACUUUUAACAAAAAAAGCAUCUAGUUUUUGUACAUGUUAGAACUUCUGCAGCAGAGAGAUUUGCCUUGCAAAUGGACAUGAAUUGCUUCUCACUGAUCGGUCGGGAACAUUUAUUUUUGCAACAAAUCACAAAGGGAAUUCUCUGGAUUUCUUAUAUUUUAUAAAAAACAUUUUUUUUUUAGGUUAUAAUAUACUUUGUCAGUUAUUUAUUCCUCAUGAGACAGAUACUGGGACUCGUCGGUUUUCUUUUCUCUUUGGUGUAUUUCUUCUUUGCCAGAAAUCAAAUUGAUUGUGUGAAUCAUUAUCGGGCCAUUCACAUUUGCUGGCAACAAGCUUUUUCAAAUUGAGUUACAACUUCAUGAGUCGACACUACAGUGUGUGAGUUCAAGUUCAUUUGCACUCACUGAGUGGAACUUACUCUGAACAACGUUACUCAUUCUUAUCUGCAAUGGGAUCACUUCAUCUAUAGAGAGCUGACCGUCUUUUAACAUUUUCGUGUGAAAAGCGAGGCUUUUUAAAAGAAGAGGAGCUGUGUUGAAUUAAGAGAGCUGACAAUGAUCCUACUUUGCAUCUAUUUGAAACGGCGCCUCGGUCGUUUAGCCAAAAACAAAGUGCAUUGUGGGGAAGCCUGACCUGAUCUAAGCUCUGCUGCCCAGUGCAGUGCAGCCAAGUAACAAGAUCGUGAAUUACAAAUUAAAUAUUAACAAAUUUAAGGCAAAUGAGCCUUAAAUGCACAAAUA
ensembl:lncRNA